GAUGAACGCUGGCGGCGCGCUUAACACAUGCAAGUCGAACGGAAAGGCCUGCUUUCCCUUGUGGUUUCCGGGUCCUCGGGUGGCGAACGGGUGAGUAACACGCGUGUGUUCUGCCCCCAACUUGCGUAUAAGCCCGGGAAACUGGGCCUAAUACCCUUUAGAACUGCAUGGUUGUGUCUGUGGAGGUAGACGAGCUUCUAGUGGUAGGGGGUGAGCCGCCGUCCUAUCAGCUUGUUGGGGGGGCAAAGUCCUACCACGGCGAGGACGGGAAGCCGGCCGGGGAGGGUGGACAGCCGCAUUGGGACUGGGAUCAGGCCCAGACGCCUACGGGAGGCAGGAGUGGGGACUAAUGGACAAUGAGCGGAAGCGUGAUGCAGCGAGGGAGCGUGGGGGAUGACGGCAUCCGGGUUGUAAGCUCCUUGCGACCGCGAGGAAGGCACCUGGUUGGACGGGUGGUGACGGUAGUGGUAGAAGAAGCACCGGCUAACUACGUG
rnacentral:rRNA from 1 species